GAUGGAGAUGGCCAUUUUUGGAUUGCAUCAGCCACGGAAAUUACACUUUUCUGGAAGAUGGCAUUCAGGUAUCCAGUGAUCCGAAAGGUUGCAGGAAUUAUUUUGAAGCACAUAGGAGAACUAGAAACGAAUAAGAAUGGUGGUGUUUUUGUGGUGGAUUUGAAGGGGAAAUUAAUUUCUCAGUACCAUGAUCCAAGGUUAAUGCUGAUUACAAGUGGGGUGAAGAUUGGAACUCAUCUGUACUGUGGUUCUAUCAUCUAUCCCCAUAUUAUCCGCCUGAAUUUGGCCAAGUAUCCUGCCGUACAUGUCACCAAGUGAGCUACAAGUUCCACAACUCCUAAUCCACCUUUCAUUUAUAAAUCUCAAGUGAGCCGGGACAGCCUUCUUCCUCCGCC
rnacentral:misc_RNA from 1 species